ACCUCUGUGGCUCAGUGUGCUAAGCUGUGAACUUCUGUUUAACAGGUCCUGGGUUCGAAUCCCGACAGUAGGAGGUA